GACGAACGCUGGCGGCGUGCUUAACACAUGCAAGUGGAGCGACGAACCAGGCUUCGGCCUGGGGCAGAGCCGCGAACGGGUGAGUAACACGUGGGUAACCUGCCCUGAUGAUCGGGACAACCCGGGAAACCGGGCUAAUACCGAAUGUGCCCGCGAGCCGCAAGGCUUGCGAGGAAAGGAAGCUUCGGCCUCCGCAUCGGGAUGGGCCCGCGGCCCAUUAGCUUGUUGGUGGGGUAACGGCCUACCAAGGCAGCAAUGGGUAGCUGGUCUGAGAGGACGAUCAGCCACACUGGGACUGAGACACGGCCCAGACUCCUACGGGAGGCAGCAGUGGGGAAUCUUGCGCAAUGCGCGAAAGCGUGACGCAGCAACGCCGCGUGGGGGAAGAAGGCCUU
rnacentral:rRNA from 1 species